CCUACGGGUGGCAGCAGUCGAGAAUCAUUCACAAUGGGGGAAACCCUGAUGGUGCGACGCCGCGUGGGGGAAUGAAGGUCUUCGGAUUGUAAACCCCUGUCAUGUGGGAGCAAAUUAAAAAGAUAGUACCACAAGAGGAAGAGACGGCUAACUCUGUGCCCGCAGCCCCGGUACUACAGAGGUCUCAAGCGUUGUUCGGAAUCACUGGGCGUAAAGCGUGCGUAGGCUGUUUCGUAAGUCGUGUGUGAACGGCGAGUGCUCAACCCGCGGACGGCACAUGAUACUGCGAGACUAGAGUAAUGGAGGGGGAACCGGAAUUCUCGGUGUAGCAGUGAAAUGCGUAGAUAUCGAGAGGAACACUCGUGGCGAAGGCGGGUUCCUGGACAUUAACUGACGCUGAGGCACGAAGGCCAGGGGAGCGAAAGGGAUUAGAUACCCGAGUAGUC
rnacentral:rRNA from 1 species